CACAUUCAGAACAGCCAAAUGGCUUUUGUCCAGUAUGUAUUAUCAUGUGUUUGUAUAGGUUACUCUUUAGUCCAAACAUUUUACCACACUCCGAACAGCCAAAUUGUUUUGUCCCGAAUGAAUUAUCACGUGUGUGUCCAGGUGGCUCUUUCGGCUAAAUCUUUUACCACAUUCAGAACAGGCAAAUUGUUUUUGCCUUGUAUGAAUUAUCAUGUGUGUGUUCAGGUAGCUCUUUUGUCCAAAUCUUUGACCACAUUCAGAACAGCCAAAUGGUUUUUCUCCUGUAUGAAUUAUCAUGUGUUUGUUCAUGUGGCUCUUUCGUCCAAAUCUUUGACCACACUCAGAACAGACAAAUGGUUUUUUGCCCUGUAUGAGUUAUCAUGUGUUUAUUCAGGUUGCUCUUUUGUACAAAUCUGUGACCACAUUCAAAACAGCCAAAUGGUUUUUGUCCUGUAUGAAUUAUUGUGUGUGUGUUCAAAUCGCUCUUUUGUCCAAAUCUUUUACCACAUUCAGAACAACCAAACUGUUUUUCUUCUGUAUGAAUUAUCAGGUG